CAUAAGUGAAUUAAGGGUGUAUGGGGGAUGCCUAGGCUCUUGAAGGCGAUGAAGGACGUGUUAAGCUGCGAUAAGCUACGGGGAUUUGCACAAAAGAAUUGAUCCGUAGAUUUCCGAAUGGGGCAACCCAAUGGUUUGAAGAACCAUUACCACAAAGUGGGGCAAACCCGGAGAACUGAAACAUCUAAGUACCCGGAGGAAGAGAAAACAAAAGUGAUUCCGUAAGUAGUGGCGAGCGAACGCGGACUAGCCCAAACCGUUGUUGUUACGGCAAUGACGGGGUUGUAGGACGUUUUUUUAGAAAGGAUUUUAAUUUGAAUGAGUUGGGAAGCUCAGCCGGAGAAGGUGAUAGCCCUGUAAGAGUAAGGAAUCUGGACGUAAGCGUAUCCUGAGUAGGGGGGAGCUGGUGAAACUCCCUUUGAAUCAGCCGGCACCAUCCGGUAAGGCUAAAUACUAACAAGAGACCGAUAGUGAACGAGUACUGUGAAGGAAAGGUGAAAAGUA
rnacentral:rRNA from 1 species